rnacentral:sRNA from 2 species
UCCAGCUGUCUGCUGGACUGCACCAGUGAAGAUGACGCGUGCCAUUUGUUUGAUGAGGUCUUGAUGAAGUUAAAAAAAUGAUAAGAUAUGAUCAAUAGUGCAGAUUGAGAGAGCUAUGGGCAAAUGGGGAUGCUGUGAGUUGAGGGGUUAAAGGAGAGUUGAAGCAAGGACAAGCUUGUCUUGGAGAAGUUCCGCAAGGUGCAGCAAUAGAAGGGGAGUGGUGAUGGGGAUCUGGGAUUUCCAGACUUUUUGUAGGAUAUUCACAAUUUGAUAAAAGAAUGUGGAUGAGAGAUGGAGAUGC